GGUUGCCUACGGGACGCAGCAGUGGGGAAUAUUGCGCAAUGGGCGAAAGCCUGACGCAGCGACGCCGCGUGAGGGAUGAAGGUCUUCGGAUCGUAAACCUCUGUCAGCAGGGAAGAACGGUCACUGUGCUAAUCAGCAGUGAAUUGACGGUACCUGCAAAGGAAGCACCGGCUAACUCCGUGCCAGCAGCCGCGGUAAUACGGAGGGUGCGAGCGUUAAUCGGAAUUACUGGGUGUAAAGGGAGCGUAGGCGGGGAUGCAAGUUGGGUGUCAAAACUCCCGGCUCAA
rnacentral:rRNA from 1 species